GGUCACUGCUGCCUGCGGCCCUGCGGGCUGGCGUGAACCACGGGUGUCUGCCCCGGGGCGGAGCUCUCUCAGCUGGUGACGUUUGCCGCUAGCCUCCACAUAGUGAGCUCCCGGGCAGGUCCCCUCGUGAGGCUGAAGAGCUUUGUGGUGCCUUCGGCCCCAUUUCUGGGCUGCGUGGAGCAGAACUUCAGGAGACCAUCUGUCAUCCCCUGGAGGUUUAGAAGAAAGAAGAGAGUAGGGAUGACUGGAGCUCCUCUGCCCACUCGUGGGGUCCCAGCCAGUGUGGGACACCUCUGGCGGAGACCCAGGGGCUGCAGGACGACCUGCUCUGAUGCCCGGGAGCCUCAGUUUCCCCCGUAAGAGGACAGGUUUGACCAGAGGCCCUGUGGAGCCCACCCUGGCCACCCUCGCUCUCUUUCUGUGGCUCGGGCCCCUGUACAUACGCUUCUGUCCCUUUCCACAUAUCUCCAUGCCUUUCAGAUGCAUCAGCCUUCUCUCCUAGACUCUUAGCUCCCGAAGCUAGGACUCGAUCCCUGAGGCUCGUGGUGGGUCGCCCGACCCCCUCCCCUACUUUGUUUUGGGGGCGCGGCUCCAGGCCUGGGCAGCAUGCCAGGAUGUGCCUGCAGGUGCCAUGCGGGAGUUUGCCCUGCUGGGAGGGAGCACGUCCCAGGGCCCUGUUGGUGAGGGACCCUCAGGGACACGUGCAGAGAGAAACGCCUUGGAGAGUCCUCACUGGGAGGCUUUUCACAUGAGCCUUUUCUUUGAUGUUUCAGUCAGACUCAAUCCUGACAAUUGGGGCAUAAAUCCUGUGCUUUUGAAAGGGUUUUUAUCCUCGGAAUCCCAGCAUCCAUUGGGAAGAUGUCGCAGAGAAGGCUGCCCUGGACAAGAAAGGAGACCGUAGACGUACGAAUAGCUGCGCACACUUUGCUUCCAGACGCCCGGGUUUGAAUCCUGGCCCAGCCAACUGCUUGCUGUGUAUUUGCUUUGGCAAGCUGUGUAAACAGUCUGAGCCUGAGUGUCCACGACUAUAGAAUGGAGGCCACGUGGCACCUUCUCACAGAGCUGUGAGCAGAGACGUGCCCGGGGAAGGCCCUGAGCCAAGCCCAGCACCCACAUGUGGAGAAUGGCCACCACUGCUCUGUGUUUUAAUGGGGCGCUGCUGGUGGGGGCAGCCAUCUACCUGGUCUCUCAAGAAUAAUGGGACCCCAGAAAUGGGGUGUCUGCUAGGAGAGAGCACCACAGAGGCAGGACUUUCAGGGGAGAAGAGAAGCAGCGCCCCAGAACUCAUCCUGCAGUGCCUGAGGAAACCCACGUAGCACAGCUGGCGUGGGUGGGCCCCGCCCCACUCUCAGGGGUCAUACGAAGGUCAAUGCGGCCCCGCCCCACUUUCAGGGUCAUACGAAGGUCAAUGCGGCCCCGCCCCACUUUCAGGGUCAUACGAAGGUCGGUGUGGCUCCGCCCCACUUGUCAGGGUCAUACGAAGGUCAAUGCGGCCCCGCCCCACUUUCAGGGUCAUACGAAGGUCAGUGUGGCUCUGCCCCACUUGUCAGAGUCAUACGAAGGUCGGUGUGGCCCCGCCCCACUUUCAGGGUCAUACGAAGGUCGUCGCCCCUUGACCACUUUUGUGGGUCUAAGCAAGUAGCAGUAGCAGUGUUAACAGCAACACCCAAAAGAUAAGAAAACGGUUUUAGGUUCCAGGGUAUCAUAAUUUGUAACGACUGGAGAUGAGGAACACCCAUGGGUAGAGGGUGGCCACACACUGCAGGACACGGUUGCGGGACAAAACGUAUUUAACAACGGGGGCAAACGUCACCAAGCAGGAAGAGCGGUAAGGAGAAACUAGAUAGAGAGCAGUCACAGAGGGAAUUGGAGGAAGCAGACGGGAAGAGACGCAGGCGGAGACUGUAGAUUUGUUUCUUCUCCCCACUGUUCUGUGCUUUCAGAUUCUCUGAAAUGACUAUCGCUUCUCUAAAGGGGGUGAAGUCCAUCGGGUUCAUCCCUGUCGCUGGGUGAAUGAACCAGAACAGGAGUUGGCAUCCUGUGUAAAAAUAUUUUGUUGGCAC